GGCGUUAAUAACUCAGUUAGGUUAGAGUGUUAGGUUGUGGUUCUGAAAGUCACGGGUUCAAAUCCCGUUUUACGCC
rnacentral:tRNA from 1 species